GAUGAACGCUGGCGGCGUGCCUAAUACAUGCAAGUCGAGCGAAUGACGAGGAGCUUGCUCCUCUGAUUUAGCGGCGGACGGGUGAGUAACACGUGGGUAACCUGCCUGUAAGACGGGGAUAACUCCGGGAAACCGGAGCUAAUACCGGAUGAUAACGAGAAGCGCCUGCUUCUUUGUUGAAAGUCGGUUGCGGCUGACGCUUACAGAUGGGCCCGCGGCGCAUUAGCUAGUUGGUGAGGUAACGGCUCACCAAGGCGACGAUGCGUAGCCGACCUGAGAGGGUGAUCGGCCACACUGGGACUGAGACACGGCCCAGACUCCUACGGGAGGCAGCAGUAGGGAAUCUUCGGCAAUGGACGAAAGUCUGACCGAGCAACGCCGCGUGAGCGAUGAAGGCCUUCGGGUCGUAAAGCUCUGUUGUCAGAGAAGAACAAGUACCGGAGUAACUGCCGGUACCUUGACGGUACCUGACCAGAAAGCCACGGCUAACUACGUGCCAGCAGCCGCAGUAAAAC
rnacentral:rRNA from 1 species